GGAGAGUUAGAUCUUGGCUCAGAUUGAACGCUGGCGGCAGGCCUAACACAUGCAAGUCGAGCGGUAGCACAGAGAGCUUGCUCUCGGGUGACGAGCGGCGGACGGGUGAGUAAUGUCUGGGAAACUGCCUGAUGGAGGGGGAUAACUACUGGAAACGGUAGCUAAUACCGCAUAACGUCGCAAGACCAAAGUGGGGGACCUUCGGGCCUCAUGCCAUCAGAUGUGCCCAGAUGGGAUUAGCUAGUAGGUGGGGUAACGGCUCACCUAGGCGACGAUCCCUAGCUGGUCUGAGAGGAUGACCAGCCACACUGGAACUGAGACACGGUCCAGACUCCUACGGGAGGCAGCAGUGGGGAAUAUUGCACAAUGGGCGCAAGCCUGAUGCAGCCAUGCCGCGUGUGUGAAGAAGGCCUUCGGGUUGUAAAGCACUUUCAGCGGGGAGGAAGGCGAUAAGGUUAAUAACCUCAUCGAUUGACGUUACCCGCAGAAGAAGCACCGGCUAACUCCGUGCCAGCAGCCGCGGUAAUACGGAGGGUGCAAGCGUUAAUCGGAAUUACUGGGCGUAAAGCGCACGCAGGCGGUCUGUCAAGUCGGAUGUGAAAUCCCCGGGCUCAACCUGGGAACUGCAUUCGAAACUGGCAGGCUAGAGUCUUGUAGAGGGGGGUAGAAUUCCAGGUGUAGCGGUGAAAUGCGUAGAGAUCUGGAGGAAUACCGGUGGCGAAGGCGGCCCCCUGGACAAAGACUGACGCUCAGGUGCGAAAGCGUGGGGAGCAAACAGGAUUAGAUACCCUGGUAGUCCACGCCGUAAACGAUGUCGAUUUGGAGGUUGUGCCCUUGAGGCGUGGCUUCCGGAGCUAACGCGUUAAAUCGACCGCCUGGGGAGUACGGCCGCAAGGUUAAAACUCAAAUGAAUUGACGGGGGCCCGCACAAGCGGUGGAGCAUGUGGUUUAAUUCGAUGCAACGCGAAGAACCUUACCUGGUCUUGACAUCCACAGAACUUUCCAGAGAUGGAUUGGUGCCUUCGGGAACUGUGAGACAGGUGCUGCAUGGCUGUCGUCAGCUCGUGUUGUGAAAUGUUGGGUUAAGUCCCGCAACGAGCGCAACCCUUAUCCUUUGUUGCCAGCGGUUAGGCCGGGAACUCAAAGGAGACUGCCAGUGAUAAACUGGAGGAAGGUGGGGAUGACGUCAAGUCAUCAUGGCCCUUACGACCAGGGCUACACACGUGCUACAAUGGCAUAUACAAAGAGAAGCGACCUCGCGAGAGCAAGCGGACCUCAUAAAGUAUGUCGUAGUCCGGAUUGGAGUCUGCAACUCGACUCCAUGAAGUCGGAAUCGCUAGUAAUCGUAGAUCAGAAUGCUACGGUGAAUACGUUCCCGGGCCUUGUACACACCGCCCGUCACACCAUGGGAGUGGGUUGCAAAAGAAGUAGGUAGCUUAACCUUUGGGAGGGCGCUUACCACUUUGUGAUUCAUGACUGGGGUGAAGUCGUAACAAGGUAACCGUAGGGGAACCUGCGGCUGGAUCACCUCCUUA
rnacentral:rRNA from 1 species